rnacentral:rRNA from 2 species
AGCGCAGGCGGUUUGAUAAGUCUGAAGUAAAAGGCUGUGGCUUAACCAUAGUAUGCUUUGGAAACUGUCAAACUUGAGUGCAGAAGGGGAGAGUGGAAUUCCAUGUGUAGCGGUGAAAUGCGUAGAUAUAUGGAGGAACACCGGUGGCGAAAGCGGCUCUCUGGUCUGUAACUGACGCUGAGGCUCGAAAGCGUGGGGAGCAAACA